rnacentral:rRNA from 1 species
ACUAACGCUGGCGGCGUGCCUAACACAUGCAAGUCGAACGAUCUUGAUUUAUAGCAAUAUUAUUAAAGAGGAGUGGCGAACGGGUGAGUAACACGUAGAUAAUCUGCCUUCAGACGGGGACAACUCAGGGAAACUUGUGCUAAUACCCGAUGAGACCACAAGAAGGGAUUUUUGUGGCCAAAGGCGGGCAGCAAUGCUCGUGCUGAAAGAUGAGUCUGCGUCCUAUCAGCUAGUUGGUGGGGUAAAUGCCUACCAAGGCUAAGACGGGUAGCCGGCCUGAGAGGGUGAACGGCCACACUGGGACUGAGACACGGCCCAGACUCCUACGGGAGGCAGCAGUGAGGAAUUUUCCGCAAUGGGCGCAAGCCUGACGGAGCGACGCCGCGUGAGGGAUGACAGCUUUCGGGUUGUAAACCUCUUUUAUUAAGGAAAAAGAUCUAUAUGCUAAUAUCAUGUAGAUUUGAUGGUACUUAUUGAAUAAGCCCCGGCUAACUACGUGCCAGCCGCGGC